rnacentral:rRNA from 1 species
UACGUAGGGUGCGAGCAUUAAUCGGAAUUACUGGGCGUAAAGCGUGCGCAGGCGGUUUUGUAAGCCAGAUGUGAAAUCCCCGGGCUUAACCUGGGAAUGGCAUUUGGGACUGCAAGGCUGGAGUUUGGCAGAGGAGACUGGAAUUCCCGGUGUAGCAGUGAAAUGCGUAGAUAUCGGGAGGAAUACCGAUGGCGAAGGCAGGUCUCUGGGCUAUAACUGACGCUCAUGCACGAAAGCGUGGGGAGCAAACAGG